rfam:Tetraodon nigroviridis mitochondrion, complete genome.
AGGCACAAAGGCUUGGUCCUGACUUUACUAACAGCUCUAGCCAAACUUACACAUGCAAGUAUCCGCACCCCCGUGAGAAUGCCCUACACACCCUGCCCGGGAAUUAGGAGCCGGUAUCAGGCACACCCCUAGUAGCCCAUGACGCCUUGCUUAGCCACACCCCCAAGGGAACUCAGCAGUGAUAAACAUUAAGCCAUAAGUGAAAACUUGACUUAGCUACGGCUUAGAGGGCCGGUAAAACUCGUGCCAGCCACCGCGGUUAUACGAGAGGCCCAAGUUGUUAGCCCCCGGCGUAAAGAGUGGUUAAAACACCAAACACCAAACUGAGGCCGAACGCCCUCAAAGCAGUUAUACGCUCCCGAGGACAUGAAGGACAAUUACGAAGGUAGCCUCACCCCCUUUGAACCCACGAAAGCUAGGGUACAAACUGGGAUUAGAUACCCCACUAUGCCUAGCCCUAAACAAUGAUAUUCUAAUACAUUCCUUAUCCGCCCGGGUACUACGAGCAUUAGCUUAAAACCCAAAGGACUUGGCGGUGCUUUAAACCCAUCUAGAGGAGCCUGUUCUAGAACCGAUAAUCCCCGUUAAACCUCACCCCUCCUUGUCUAAUCCGCCUAUAUACCACCGUCGUCAGCCUACCCUGUGAAGGACUAACAGUAGGCAAAGUUGGCACAGCCCAAAACGUCAGGUCGAGGUGUAGCGUAUGGAGGGGGAAGAAAUGGGCUACAUUCUCUGCCCAGAGAACCACGAAUGACAUAAUGAAACACAUGUCUGAAGGAGGAUUUAGCAGUAAGUAAAGAAACAGAGUGUCUUACUGAAACCGGCCAUGAAGCGCGCACACACCGCCCGUCACUCUCCCCAAAUCAAACCCACCAAUAAUUAAUACACUACCACACACAAAGGGGAGGCAAGUCGUAACAUGGUAAGUGUACCGGAAGGUGCACUUGGAAAAAUCAGAAU